rnacentral:rRNA from 1 species
UGGGAACGUGCCUUUUGGUUCGGAACAACCCAGGGAAACUUGGGCUAAUACCGGAUAAGCCCUUACGGGGAAAGAUUUAUCGCCAAAGGAUCGGCCCGCGUCUGAUUAGCUAGUUGGUGGGUAAUGGCCACCAAGGCUACGAUCAGUAGCUGGUCUGAGAGGAUGAUCAGCCACACUGGGACCGAGACACGGCCCAGACUCCUACGGGAGGCGG